rnacentral:rRNA from 1 species
GAUGAACGCUGGCGGCGUGCCUAAUACAUGCAAGUCGAGCGAACAGACGAGGAGCUUGCUCCUCUGACGUUAGCGGCGGACGGGUGAGUAACACGUGGAUAACCUACCUAUAAGACUGGGAUAACUUCGGGAAACCGGUGCUAAUACCGGAUAAUAUCUUUAACCGCAUGGUUCAAUAGUGAAAGACGGUUUUGCUGUCACUUAUAGUUGGAUCCGCGCCGCAUUAGCUAGUUGGUAAGGUAACGGCUUACCAAGGCAACGAUCCGUAGCCGACCUGAGAGGGUGAUCGGCCACACUGGAACUGAGACACGGUCCAGACUCCUACGGGAGGCAGCAGUAGGGAAUCUUCCGCAAUGGGCGAAAGCCUGACGGAGCAACGCCGCGUGAGUGAUGAAGGUCUUCGGAUCGUAAAACUCUGUUAUUAGGGAAGAACAAAUGUGUAAGUAACUAUGCACGUCUUGACGGUAACUAAUCAGAAAGCCACGGCUAACUACGUG